GGUUUGGUGACUCAGAAAAAUAGCUAUUCCUCCCACUGACUCUCCAGGUAAUUUUUGUUACCUGUACAGCAGUUAUUUUCCAGGAGCUGAAAGGCAGCAUCAGGAACAUUUGGUGGACUCCCCAUGGUGCCACAUUUCGGUGCAUACAAGACACUGCUUGCUUGCCACUUUUCCAGGCCUGUUGCUGGCAGGAGGCAGCAGAGCAGAGCUCUGAGUGUUUCUGCCACUUUGGUGUUAUCUAAGCAGCGUGAGUGAUCCUAAAAUUAAGCAAGAAACACAGUGCCUUGAGGGAAAAGGCAGCAUGUGACCAAAUUAUUCGCCUUGACUUUGCAUUAGGAAAACCUUUCUGCAACUCUCAGAGCAAAAUGCAAUCUUUGUGCUAGUAACUCCUUCCAGAUUUUAUCUUGAACUACAUGGAAACAAAUUUUUUCCCAAUCUUUGCAGCUACACCAAGAAAAUCUUUCACUGCUUGCAAUGAAGAGGUUAUAAACUCAUGCAGAGUUGAUCAGGAGUGGAACUCAGUGCCCUUUGUCCCUUUGAGAUUAUUGUUUGCUGUUCCUGCCCAGGGAAAAGUAAACAGCAAAAUCCAAUUACCGUGUCCUCUGACUCAAACACUGCUCAAGCCUCCCCUCAGGACAAUGCUCGUAUUCAAGCUGCUCUCUGAGCUUAGCUCUGUUCUUAAAAUUAGCAAUGUUUCUGUAAGAUUGAUUUGCCAGAAAUAUGUGGAUGAAAAAAUGCUGACACACAUUUUCAUCCUAGAAGUAAACUGUCAAGCUUGUACCAGAAGCUGAUGGAGGACACAGAAGUUGGCUUUCAGAUGACAAGGCUUUUCAGAUUCACGCAUCCUCUGAGCCUCCCUGAGUCUGCUGAGACCAUAGAGAAAUGCAUUUAAUUCAGUGAAUUCAGUGAGGUCCUUACUGCAUCAUGAAGAUACAAAUCUAAGGUGUGCUCAGAACACAACAAAACAUUCUUAACAGGUACCUUUAAAGUAAAGAGACAGAAGAGGUAUCUGAAAUGCCCCAAAAGUGAUAUCUGUUCACCUGACACAAACCAGGAUCCAGUCUGUGAAAUCCCAACUCCACCAUCCAUGGAGGUGAAGGAAUAAAAACAAGAGCUGAAUCCUCAUUUGAAAAUAUUGCAGUUCACUCAUUUCACUUCAGUUUUCCUGAUGUAUUUUCCAGGUAUGUAUGUAUGUGUUUCUGAUUUUAUAUCUAUUACGUAACUUUCAUGAAUUACUUGGUUCCAUCAGGACUGCUGUAGCCCAGCUAGUUCUGUGGAUGUUGUAUCUCAAUGGGAUCCAAGAAUACAGUAAAUGAUAUGCAGCAGCAUGCAAGGACUCAGAAUACCUGAGAUAAAAAAGCAAAGAAAUUUCAGUUUAUCAUUUUGUCUUUUCAGCGGGUAAGGCUGCCACAUCUACAGGCCAUAAUCCUCUUUGUCUGAAGCCAAAUAACACAGAGAAUCAAAAUGCCUUUGCAAGCUUUGAAAUGAAAGAGUAAGAAGUCUAGAGAAGAUAAUUCCAUUACAGUUUUUAUAGCUGGGCACAUCCAGUAUAGUCAAUGAAGGAGACAGACAGUAAUCUCAACCGUAAUUGCUUUUGAAAAGAUUCGUUUAUCUAUUUUUCUUAGUUGCAUAUCCAGGCAACAGAUAUGCAACUCAAAAAAUCAGAAUUCUGCUGUAUUUCUUAACCUUCCCCCCCAACAAUUGCUUCACACAUACUGUUAUGUUCUCUUACAGUUCUCAUCUGGCCGUUUCUUCGUGCCCUAAAGAGUACUAGCUAGAUGACAGUUUUCCAGAAGGGUAAGAGCCCUACUUUUUGCUUUACUUUCCCUCCCACUAUGGCCAAAACUGGAGCAGGAAAGCUGGGUAUCAGAAACAUGCUUUGCAUCGGUGAGAGUGAAGAAGGGCUGUGUGAGCUGUGUGGUACUGCACCCAGCCAGUCUCUGUGCUUGAUGGAGAGGCUUGAUUGCAAGGGCUGCAAAUCUAGGACAAGGGACAAGAGGGCACUGUCUUCUCCUGAGGCUGGUCUGUCAACCCUAGCAGAUGAAUUAAGAUCAGUGUCACAUAAAUAUUUCAGGGCUUCUCUGUUUUGGGUGUUGAGGUGAUCAGUGCUGUCAUUGGUUGACUAUUAAAGUUAUAUCUGAACUAGGAGAAGUUAUUAAACAGUCCUAAGAAAAGUUAACAGCAAUUGAAAUAUCUCCUGCAGAGAAUUUACUAAAGCAACACAACAGAAGUCGAAUAAUGCCUCCCUCAGAUUGUCUCUAGCUGGCUUCAAGUGGCCAAGUUCACUUAACACUAACCAACAAGGAAUUAAUCUCAUCAGUUUUAUCUCUGCAGCCUCCUGCAUGUAGAAUUAUUUAUACUCAUCAGAACAAACUCUUAAGAAAAGAGUGGCUAACGACCCAAUGAAUCAGAGGAGCUGUCUGAAGCCCAUGCCACCCAUAUCACUGGAACUGAGUUUUCAGAUAUGCUCAUUACACCAGGCAGGGACCCCAGGAUGCUGACAUGCUGUAGGGAAAGUCCACUCAGCUUGUGGUAGAGGGCAUUUAGAUCUCUUGUGACUCAGAGAUGGUGGAAACACAUAGAUCUUGUCACUGAUUCUCUUCUCUCCCCUUAACUACAGCUUCCCCCCAUUCCCAAGCCGAGCAGAUUUCAAAUGCUGGAAGUAUCCUGGUUCUGAAGCCUGUGUCCUGAAGGAAGCGAAGAAAGACAGUCUACCUUACAGACAUGAUCUCAAACAGUGAGAUCUGUGAAAAACAGAUGGGUCUUGCUUCAGUUGGGGAAAAAAUAGCAGUGCUGUUUAUAACAAUGGCUUUAUUUUUCUCCAUUGGAGAGAUUUGAAAUGCAGAAUAGUCAGCAUUCCACAGUUUCUGCCCACAAGCAAGUAUGAGAUGACUCCAAGAUGCUUUGCUUCCUUGUAAUCCAGAAGCUUUCUAAUGAGAAGCCAAAUUUCUGAAAACUGGAGAUGCUGCAGCACACACAACCCUUGGAGAGGAACCUUGUAAAGCCAAGUGGAAGUGGAAUUAAAUCAGGCUGCGCUGGAAACUGAUAUGAACCUAUAGCAAUGAACAGAGUGUCUGUUUCAAAUAAAUAGUUAAAACUUAAAAAUACUAAAUUUUCCAGGAGAUGAUCCCAUAACCAACGCUAGAAGGUGUUUUUCAGCCUCUGAUUAAACUAUGUGUCUUUACAGGCAUUUGGAUACACUACAAUCAUUUAAAAAAUUCUUCUCAUUAUAAAGCAUGUGCAGAAAUAUUUGCUGAGGCAUGUUUCUGCAGCUUUUUUGAUGCAUCAGUUUUCUACUGUAAGUAAAAAUGUAGCCUGCAUUCAGUGAUUAGCUGUCAGGGAGGAGAGAGAAGGGAAGGAGCUGCACAAGUGCAUUUCAGCCGACUUCUACCACUAAGGACCUAAGAACAGUAAUCCAAACCAGAUGUAGGGAAAAAAUGAGAGACACAUAAAUAUGGUCAUUCUAAUGCCUGUUUGAUUUCCCACACUCAUAAGCACUUUACUGAUGAAAAUUCCAGUGUGUUCAUGAGGCAAAGAUCUGUGUUCAUAUUCAUUUCUGCCCCAUUCCUUGCUACGUUUGCACAUAAAUGUCUGUUCCUUUCUCUUCUCUGGGAGCUUUGUGGAGGGCUUGUCCUUUCCUUUCACACUGUUUCUUUUCCCAUUUUCUCCUUCUUAAUGAUCUUCUUUUAGUUUCUUCUGUGCAUUCGUGUACAUUGCUUGUGCUCAGCUACUUGGUCAGGGGUGCAUUGCAGCAGUGUUUCAGCCCACACUUGGAGUGCCCCCCUAACAUCGUUCAUCUGAUUAUCCACCCCUCCUCACUGUCAUUUGCUUCACCUAAAGAAUAGCAUAAAAUCAACUGAAUCCCCCUAAGCUGAUUCUCCCCUAAGAAAUAUGCACUCCAGCUGCUAGUGAGCAGUCAAUGUUUGGGAUAUAACCAAAGUUUAUCCAAGGUGUAAAUGGCUGAAGCACACACAGUGUGGUCUUCACCACAUUUUGCUCUGUGAAACCAACCCAGAGCACUUCAUCAAGCACUAACAGGACACAGCAAACACCAGGUGUGCCCAUACUCUUAAGGCCACUCUGUGCCCUAUGAAAACAUCUGCCGGCUCAUACCCAUGCUUUGUCAGUGAGCCGUUCUUUCCUGCUUCUUCCUCAAAAUAUCCCCUUUGCAGAGAGAGCAGCUCAUCCACAAUCUCCCCUGCUUGCAGCUGCCUGCUGAGGACAGGAGGUGUCUGUGAGCUGCCAGGAAGGGGAUGGCACGGGGACCCCAGCAUCCCUGGCCCUUUCACAGUUUGAAUAAUUGUUCCUUCAUGGCACAGCAGCGAAACACUGGUUUGUGUUUCAGCGAAGCACAGCUCUGCUGUUUUGGUCUGAAAGAAGAAAUGUUUUCAGUCUCCGCACAGUCUGGCUCUUUGCAUUUCAGACAAACAGACUCGUGAAGAUUACUUAAUUCUUCUUCACUCAGACUGUUGCAAAGCACUGAGAAGGCUCCCCCUGCCCACAGGGGGACCUCUCAGCCCCCACUGCUCUUCGUCUCUGUGAUAUCUCAUGCUUCUAAGACUCAGUCACCUUCUACAUCCUACUUCACU
ensembl:lncRNA